rnacentral:rRNA from 1 species
UGGCUCAGGACGAACGCUGGCGGCGUGCCUAAUACAUGCAAGUCGAACGAACUCUGGUAUUGAUUGGUGCUUGCAUCAUGAUUUACAUUUGAGUGAGUGGCGAACUGGUGAGUAACACGUGGGAAACCUGCCCAGAAGCGGGGGAUAACACCUGGAAACAGAUGCUAAUACCGCAUAACAACUUGGACCGCAUGGUCCGAGCUUGAAAGAUGGCUUCGGCUAUCACUUUUGGAUGGUCCCGCGGCGUAUUAGCUAGAUGGUGGGGUAACGGCUCACCAUGGCAAUGAUACGUAGCCGACCUGAGAGGGUAAUCGGCCACAUUGGGACUGAGACACGGCCCAAACUCCUACGGGAGGCAGCAGUAGGGAAUCUUCCACAAUGGACGAAAGUCUGAUGGAGCAACGCCGCGUGAGUGAAGAAGGGUUUCGGCUCGUAAAACUCUGUUGUUAAAGAAGAACAUAUCUGAGAGUAACUGUUCAGGUAUUGACGGUAUUUAACCAGAAAGCCACGGCUAACUACGUGCCAGCAGCCGCGGUAAUACGUAGGUGGCAAGCGUUGUCCGGAUUUAUUGGGCGUAAAGCGAGCGCAGGCGGUUUUUUAAGUCUGAUGUGAAAGCCUUCGGCUCAACCGAAGAAGUGCAUCGGAAACUGGGAAACUUGAGUGCAGAAGAGGACAGUGGAACUCCAUGUGUAGCGGUGAAAUGCGUAGAUAUAUGGAAGAACACCAGUGGCGAAGGCGGCUGUCUGGUCUGUAACUGACGCUGAGGCUCGAAAGUAUGGGUAGCAAACAGGAUUAGAUACCCUGGUAGUCCAUACCGUAAACGAUGAAUGCUAAGUGUUGGAGGGUUUCCGCCCUUCAGUGCUGCAGCUAACGCAUUAAGCAUUCCGCCUGGGGAGUACGGCCGCAAGGCUGAAACUCAAAGGAAUUGACGGGGGCCCGCACAAGCGGUGGAGCAUGUGGUUUAAUUCGAAGCUACGCGAAGAACCUUACCAGGUCUUGACAUACUAUGCAAAUCUAAGAGAUUAGACGUUCCCUUCGGGGACAUGGAUACAGGUGGUGCAUGGUUGUCGUCAGCUCGUGUCGUGAGAUGUUGGGUUAAGUCCCGCAACGAGCGCAACCCUUAUUAUCAGUUGCCAGCAUUAAGUUGGGCACUCUGGUGAGACUGCCGGUGACAAACCGGAGGAAGGUGGGGAUGACGUCAAAUCAUCAUGCCCCUUAUGACCUGGGCUACACACGUGCUACAAUGGAUGGUACAACGAGUUGCGAACUCGCGAGAGUAAGCUAAUCUCUUAAAGCCAUUCUCAGUUCGGAUUGUAGGCUGCAACUCGCCUACAUGAAGUCGGAAUCGCUAGUAAUCGCGGAUCAGCAUGCCGCGGUGAAUACGUUCCCGGGCCUUGUACACACCGCCCGUCACACCAUGAGAGUUUGUAACACCCAAAGUCGGUGGGGUAACCUUUUAGGACCAGCCGCCUAAGUGGGACAGAUGAUUAGG